AUUGAACGCUGGCGGCAUGCCUUACACAUGCAAGUCGAACGGUAACGGGCCUUCGGGUGCCGCCGAGUGGCGAACGGGUGAGUAAUACAUCGGAACGUGCCCGAUCGUGGGGGAUAACGAGGCGAAAGCUUUGCUAAUACCGCAUACGAUCUACGGAUGAAAGCGGGGGACCGCAAGGCCUCGCGCGGACGGGGCGGCCGAUGGCAGAUUAGGUAGUUGGUGGGAUAAAAGCGGACCAAGCCGACGAUCUGUAGCUGGUCUGAGAGGAUGAUCAGCCACACUGGAACUGAGACACGGCCCAGACUCCUACGGGAGGCAGCAGUGGGGAAUUUUGGACAAUGGGCGCAAGCCUGAUCCAGCCAUGCCGCGUGCAGGAUGAAGGCCUUCGGGUUGUAAACUGCUUUUGUACGGAACGAAAAGCCUUCUUUUAAUACAGGAGGGUCAUGACGGUACCGUAAGAAUAAGCACCGGCUAACUACGUG
rnacentral:rRNA from 1 species